CCUGCACCGACAAAAGUGCUUGUGGCUGUUCACUGUGGUGCCGUGGAGUCCUUCUGCAAAACAGCCAGCACCUACUGCUUGAUUUUUGUGCUGGAGCUCUUUAAGCUCAGUUCUGAUUGGGAUUUCUGUCUCCACAUGUUCUUGCUUUCCAUUCUGAGUAAUGUAGAAGUGCAUGGGGGAAUAUCUGCAGCCUAGGGAAGAAUUUUCUGGAUGAAUUUUCUGGAUGAAAUUUGUUACAGCUCAUUCAGAAGACUCAUGUCCAAGCCCCGCAUUGGAGACCAUGGGGCUUUUACUGGUCACAACUGUGAUAUAUUAGUGGAAGAAAAAAACAAAGAUUUGCACGGUCCUCAUAAAACUCACAGCAGUUCCAAAUGUAUAGAUCUGUUCCCACAACUUCUGUGGAUGUGUCAUCUGUUAUGCUCAGGUAAUACAUCUUAAUUUGCUUGUAUCCUUGUGACGCGGUUUCUGGCUUGGAUACUCUUAGCUUAGAAGUUGGGUGAUUUCUUGCCCACCUCCAGCUGGCAGGUACUUACCUGUAGCGCUGCGAUGAACAGAGGAUAUCUACCAAAAGAUGAUUUAAGCCCUCACUGGAUCUAUGGCUCCAUCAGAUGUUCUGUGUCACUGUUGCCUUGAGGCCUUGAGCGAUCAUCCAGGAAUUAUGUUGUAGCCUUGUGAUAGAGAGAGGAGAAGAAGGUUGGGUUGCCUGCCAGGGUGACACCAAAUGGAGCUCAGGGGGCAGAUGGUGGAGAGCCUGUGUGUGCUGGACCCCAGGAACCCUAGGUUCAGGAUCCAGAACUGAAUCUCUCUCUAGUCUGAGUGGUUAGUCAUUUUAUCUGUCUUCAGAAAGGAACUUUUCUUGCUGUAUUGUAUUAUUGUUCCAAGUAGAUAAAUUAAAAAAAAGAGCUUGAAACUCUCUGAAACUGCUUUGUUGGAUUUGUGCUUAGGCUAAGAUAAAGUAAAUAUUAUAAUGCAGAACAAGGAGGGGGAAAAAAGAGAGAAACAACCCAGACAGCUUGUACUCUAUUUUUGCCCUCCAAAAACUAUUUGUAGAAAUAACCAUGUCUUGUACUUUUCCUGAUAGUGAUGAAAAACAGCCUCUAUAUUCUGCUCAGAGGAAUGUAUAAAUUCCUUUUAGAUAACCACAAUCCCAGUCAAGCAUCCUUGAGCGGAAGGUUUACUUGUACUCAUUAUGGAGUUUGCAUAUUGGUUGGUGUGUGAAAGAAGGGGAAAUAGAGAAGGGAAGGGGAAAAAAAGGAACAAAUUAAAUAGGGAGAGUGGAAAAAGCCAAGGAGAAUGUAUCAACAGUAAGACAAUACAGAAAGGAAAGGAAGUCUGUAUUUUAUGGGGAAAGCACCUUUAGGUAGGAUAACAGAUUUUUUUUGGUGACAAAAGGAAAUACUGGAUCUUCUUUAGGAAAAAAAUAAAAAUAAUCCUGGUUUAAAGUACA
rnacentral:lncRNA from 1 species